UUGAGCAUCAAACUUUUAAAUUGAAGAGUUUGAUCAUGGCUCAGAUUGAACGCUGGCGGCAGGCCUAACACAUGCAAGUCGAACGGUAACAGGAAGCAGCUUGCUGCUUCGCUGACGAGUGGCGGACGGGUGAGUAAUGUCUGGGAAACUGCCUGAUGGAGGGGGAUAACUACUGGAAACGGUAGCUAAUACCGCAUAA
rnacentral:rRNA from 1 species